rnacentral:rRNA from 1 species
AGUGAACGCUGGCGGUAGGCCUAACACAUGCAAGUCGAACGGCAGCACAGUAAGAGCUUGCUCUUACGGGUGGCGAGUGGCGGACGGGUGAGGAAUACAUCGGAAUCUACUUUUUCGUGGGGGAUAACGUAGGGAAACUUACGCUAAUACCGCAUACGACCUACGGGUGAAAGCAGGGGAUCUUCGGACCUUGCGCGAUUGAAUGAGCCGAUGUCGGAUUAGCUAGUUGGCGGGGUAAAGGCCCACCAAGGCGACGAUCCGUAGCUGGUCUGAGAGGAUGAGCAGCCACACUGGAACUGAGAAACGGUCCAGACUCCUACGGGAGGCAGCAGUGGGGAAUAUUGGACAAUGGGCGCAAGCCUGAUCCAGCCAUACCGCGUGGGUGAAGAAGGCCUUCGGGUUGUAAAGCCCUUUUGUUGGGAAAGAAAAGCAGCAGGUUAAUACCCCGCUGUUCUGACGGUACCCAAAGAAUAAGCACCGGCUAACUUCGUG